UUUAAGACUGCAGAAGAGAGGUGAACGUCGCCUCUGUCUUCCCCCCUUUCUCUGCCAUUUCAAACCCCGGGCCUUUGCCCAUUCGACUCCAAGUCGCGCAGAGGAGAAUAAGGCUUCAUCGGCGCACCCACGAAGGUAAGUAUUUUUUUCUGCGUCGCUCUGUGCUAACGAUCGUUCAAAAAGGAUCUUCAAACCUUCGUUCCAACUCCGAUUGCGACGGAGAGAGCAAAGAUCCGGCCACGGGGUUGUUUGUCCUUCUUGCAGGUACGGAGCAGUGGACGUGGAGGCAUGUGAAGGCAUUGCGCGCGUGUGAGGAGUGGCUCGAAGGUGUGGUGGCGCACGCACGAGAGGGGAGCGUGCUGGCUGCGGCGCUGGUGCUAGGGCUGAAUGCCUAGGGUUUCUGCUUGUGGUUAAGGCUAGUGGGCUUAGGGUUAGGUGAUUGGGCUGAUUAGGUUGGGGAUAUUUUUGGUUAUUUUGUGUUUGGGCCAUUGGGCCCGUUGUUUGUAAUGAACAUUUAAAAAGAAUGGACUGUUGUCAUAUAUUUUUAUAUUGUUUUUAA